AUGCACCGAAGCUGCGGCAGCGACACUAUGUGUUGUUGGGUAGGGGAGCGUUCUGUAAGCCUGUGAAGGUGUGUCGUGAGGCAUGCUGGAGGUAUCAGAAGUGCGAAUGCUGACAUAAGUAACGAUAAAGCGGGUGAAAAGCCCGCUCGCCGGAAGACCAAGGGUUCCUGUCCAACGUUAAUCGGGGCAGGGUGAGUCGACCCCUAAGGCGAGGCCGAAAGGCGUAGUCGAUGGGAAACGGGUUAAUAUUCCCGUACUUGGUGUUACUGCGAAGGGGGGACGGAGAAGGCUAUGUUGGCCGGGCGACGGUUGUCCCGGUUUAAGCGUGUAGGUGUGUGUUCCAGGUAAAUCCGGUUCACUUUAACACUGAGGCGUGACGACGAGGCACUACGGUGCUGAAGCAACAAAUGCCCUGCUUCCAGGAAAAGCCUCUAAGCAUCAGGUAACAUCAAAUCGUACCCCAAACCGACACAGGUGGUCAGGUAGAGAAUACCAAGGCGCUUGAGAGAACUCGGGUGAAGGAACUAGGCAAAAUGGUGCCGUAACUUCGGGAGAAGGCACGCUGACACGUAGGUGAAGUGAUUUACUCAUGGAGCUGAAGUCAGUCGAAGAUACCAGCUGGCUGCAACUGUUUAUUAAAAACACAGCACUGUGCAAACACGAAAGUGGACGUAUACGGUGUGACGCCUGCCCGGUGCCGGAAGGUUAAUUGAUGGGGUCAGCGCAAGCGAAGCUCCUGAUCGAAGCCCCGGUAAACGGCGGCCGUAACUAUAACGGUCCUAAGGUAGCGAAAUUCCUUGUCGGGUAAGUUCCGACCUGCACGAAUGGCGUAAUGAUGGCCAGGCUGUCUCCACCCGAGACUCAGUGAAAUUGAACUCGCUGUGAAGAUGCAGUGUACCCGCGGCAAGACGGAAAGACCCCGUGAACCUUUACUAUAGCUUGACACUGAACAUUGAGCCUUGAUGUGUAGGAUAGGUGGGA
rnacentral:rRNA from 1 species